AGCCUUUUGAAUGUCUAAAAGGUAGUUUCUGCCCGGUGUAAAAAUUAACGGCCGCGGUAUCCUGACCGUGCAAAGGUAGCAUAAUCAUUUGUCUAAUAAUUGUAGACUAGAAUGAAAGAAUUUACAAAGAGAAAACUGUCUCUAUUUAGUUUAUAAAAUUUAUUGAUAAAGUGAAGAAACUUUGAUAAAAAAAUUAGACGAGAAGACCCUAUUGAGCUUUACUAUUUUUAAUUAUUUAUGUUGAUUUACAAUCUUAUGUGUGAAUAAUUGUUCGUAGUUGGAUUGGGGCGAUUAAGGAAAUAUUAAUUUACUUCCUUUUUUCUUUUUACUUUUAUGUUAUUUUUGAUCCAUUUUUAAUGAUUAAAAUAACAAGUUACCAUAGGGAUAACAGCGUAAUUCUUUUUUAGAGUUCUAAUCGAAAAAAGGGUUUGCGACCUCGAUGUUGGACUAAGAUGUCCUGAAGGUGUAGCAGCUUUCGAGGGUAGGUCUGUUCGACCUUUAAAAUCUU
rnacentral:rRNA from 1 species